AAACACGACAUACUACAAAAACACAUAAAACUGAAAGUAAACCUGAACGAUACAGCUGCUACUGGAACAUUACGGUUCAAGGAAAGAUAAGCUAUAGAGGAUGGGUUUGAGCGCGUUAAAUUUUGAAUGUUGGUGCUAUACAUUUAAGGGUUUGAACAUAUCCACUGCUGCUGUGUGCGCUCUGGUGAUUGGAGCAGCAGUGGUGGCAGGAGUGAUACUGUUCUUGCGCCUGGUGGAGGAAAAGAAGAUUUGAUCAACAAGUUCAUUCCUCUGGAAUUAACUGCACUUUUGAUGAAUUCGUGGCUCUGAAAUAAAGUCUAUGCUUCUGAAGUA